GUGCCAGCAGCCGCGGUAAUACGAAGGGGGCGAGCGUUGUUCGGAUUUACUGGGCGUAAAGGGCGCGCAGGCGGCGAUCUUUGUCAGGCGUGAAAGCCCCGGGCUUAACCUGGGAACUGCGCUUGGGACGGGAUUGCUGGAGACCGGGAGAGGAGAGUGGAAUUCCCAGUGUAGAGGUGAAAUUCGUAGAUAUUGGGAAGAACACCGGUGGCGAAGGCGGCUCUCUGGACCGGAUCUGACGCUGAGGCGCGAAAGCGUGGGGAGCAAACAGGAUUAGAUACCCUGGUAGUCC
rnacentral:rRNA from 1 species